GACGAACGCUGGCGGCGUGCUUAACACAUGCAAGUCGAACGGAAAGGCCCUGCUUUUGUGGGGUGCUCGAGUGGCGAACGGGUGAGUAACACGUGAGUAACCUGCCCUUGACUUUGGGAUAACUUCAGGAAACUGGGGCUAAUACCGGAUAGGAGCUCCUGCUGCAUGGUGGGGGUUGGAAAGUUUCGGCGGUUGGGGAUGGACUCGCGGCUUAUCAGCUUGUUGGUGGGGUAGUGGCUUACCAAGGCUUUGACGGGUAGCCGGCCUGAGAGGGUGACCGGCCACAUUGGGACUGAGAUACGGCCCAGACUCCUACGGGAGACAGCAGUGGGGAAUAUUGCACAAUGGGCGGAAGCCUGAUGCAGCAACGCCGCGUGCGGGAUGAAGGCCUUCGGGUUGUAAACCGCUUUCGCCUGUGACGAAGCGUGAGUGACGGUAAUGGAUAAAGAAGCACCGGCUAACUACGUG
rnacentral:rRNA from 1 species